UUCUGUAGCAUCUAACAGGCUACACACGCAGAUACCUGGCAAGUGUCCAGACUGAAAUACGGAGCUUAAAUUUCCACAGCUCAACCCUUAUCAGAGUCUGUGUUUUGAUGGCCUAUAAAAGGAUGCAGUGUGUGGGAUCCCUCAUCCCUGAGUCCUCUCCUUUUUCAGUGAGUUAAAAUGGGGCUCCAGACAGAAAAGAGGUUUCCAGAGCCAAACCUACCAUUUCCUUUCGGGAUCUAUGACCACCUCCUUCCUGUGAUACCUGGAGUGAGAAUGCGGUGUUUGGAAUCCUUAUCACUGGAGACUGGCUGUCUCUGUCCCACCAGCAGGGUGUGUCUGUGUAGAGCUUCCUGUUACUGCCCCAGUGAAGGUCUGUGGUGUCUUUAUACGCGUGCAUUUGGCAUUACUUUGAGAGGCUGUUACUUUCUCCUGGUGAACUGAUGUCUGAAGAAAUUAAUAAGG